rnacentral:rRNA from 1 species
AACGAACGCUGGCGGCAUGCCUAACACAUGCAAGUCGAACGAGACCUUCGGGUCUAGUGGCGCACGGGUGCGUAACGCGUGGGAACCUGCCCUUAGGUUCGGAAUAACUCCCCGAAAGGGGUGCUAAUACCGGAUAAUGUCUUCGGACCAAAGAUUUAUCGCCUUUGGAUGGGCCCGCGUUGGAUUAGCUAGUUGGUAGGGUAAAAGCCUACCAAGGCGACGUUCCAUAGCUGGUCUGAGAGGAUGAUCAGCCACACUGGGACUGAGACACGGCCCAGACUCCUAUGGGAGGCAGCAGUGGGGAAUAUUGGACAAUGGGCGAAAGCCUGAUCCAGCAAUGCCGCGUGAGUGAUGAAGGCCUUAGGGUUGUAAAGCUCUUUUACCCGGGAUGAUAAUGACAGUACCGGGAGAAUAAGCUCCGGCUAACUCCGUG